CUCUGUGCUCUUUUCUUCCUUUAAAAACUUUCAUGCAUGGCGAUUAGGGCAUCAAUCCAUAAUUAGGCCUCAAAAUCGCUCUUGAUUAAUGCUAUUACUUUAUUAAUUCAUGAAGAAGAUGUAAUCUCUUACGGAUUUUCGGCUUUUCUAACCAUUUUGGAAGAAGAGGAGAUAAUAGCGAAGUUAGUUUCGAUUUGGGGAUUCGGGUUUU
rnacentral:misc_RNA from 1 species